rnacentral:rRNA from 1 species
UGUCGCCUACGGGGGGCAGCAGUGGGGAAUAUUGCACAAUGGGGGAAACCCUGAUGCAGCAACGCCGCGUGAAGGAAGACGGUUUUCGGAUUGUAAACUUCUGUUCUUAGUGAAGAAGAAUGACGGUAGCUAAGGAGCAAGCCACGGCUAACUACGUGCCAGCAGCCGCGGUAAUACGUAGGUGGCAAGCGUUGUCCGGAUUUACUGGGUGUAAAGGGCGUGUAGGCGGGAGAGCAAGUCAGACGUGAAAUUCCAGGGCUCAACCCUGGAACU